CUCAUUUCAACACUUUCUCUUUUCUUUCCAUUUACUUUACUUACUUACUCCUUGGUGGGCCCUCUUUAUUUACAGGCCUACCGUAUCGUCGGUCUUGGCACACCACAACCGACUUGCUCCCUUUAUACUAUCCUACGCUUAUGCUGGAACCUUACUCCAUAUACGGCUAUUUGCCCCGAACACAAAUACUGUAUUUGCAAUCUCCAUUAGCUGUAUUAUGGACAUCCCUACAAAUCCCUCUAAUUUUCUGUAAUUUCCUUUUACCUUGGGCCUGGCUGACAAAUGCUGAGUCUAUCAUUCGGAAGUUUUCAGGGGCCUCUGGAUUAAAGGGAGUAUACAACCUAUUUGACUCAAGCAGUGUCUAAUAUGGGACUUCGGCAAGGCUGCCCAAUAAUAGGUUCCAGUCUAUGAGUAGUAAGAUAGGUGUAAGGGGGUGAGCUAAUUUUAUUAGUCGGCAUUUGGUGGAUGAAAAAACGUUUUUGUUUAAAGUGUUAAACCAAAAACCUA